GAUGAACGCUGGCGGCGUGCCUAAUACAUGCAAGUCGAGCGAACGGACGAGAAGCUUGCUUCUCUGAUGUUAGCGGCGGACGGGUGAGUAACACGUGGAUAACCUACCUAUAAGACUGGGAUAACUUCGGGAAACCGGAGCUAAUACCGGAUAAUAUUUUGAACCGCAUGAUUCAAAAGUAAAAGACGGUCUUGCUGUCACUUAUAGAUGGAUCCGCGCUGCAUUAGCUAGUUGGUAAGGUAACGGCUUACCAAGGCAACGAUGCAUAGCCGACCUGAGAGGGUGAUAGGCCACACUGGAACUGAGACACGGUCCAGACUCCUACGGGAGGCAGCAGUAGGGAAUCUUCCGCAAUGGGCGAAAGCCUGACGGAGCAACGCCGCGUGAGUGAUGAAGGUCUUCGGAUCGUAAAACUCUGUUAUUAGGGAAGAACAUAUGUGUAAGUAACUGUGCACAUCUUGACGGUACCUAAUCAGAAAGCCACGGCUAACUACGUG
rnacentral:rRNA from 1 species